AUGGACACACCAUACUCGGGGACACCCCAAAAUCCUAUCCUGAUCUCACAGGGAGAGAAAGGCUUUCCAGAGAAAUUUAUAAAAAAAACCAGAAGACUUGGAUAAGUUAAAAAAUGAUGGGAGUUUGAUGUUCCAGCAAGUGCCAAUGGUUGAAAUUGAUGGGAUGAAGCUGGUGCAGACCAGAGCCAUUCUCAACUACAUUGCCACCAAACACAACCUCUACGGGAAAGACAUGAAGGAGAGAGCCCUGAUUGAUAUGUAUUCAGAGGGUGUGGCAGAUUUGGGUGAAAUGAUCAUGCAUUUGCUACUGUGCCCACCUGCUGAAAAAGACGUCAAGCUGACCCUAAUCUGAGAAAAGACAACAAACCAUUAUCUCCCUGCAUUUGAAAAUGUGCUGAAGAGCCACGGACAAGACUACCUGGUGGGCAACAAGCUGAGCAGGGCUGACAUCCACCUGGUUGAACUUCUCUACUAUGUGGAAGAGCUGGACCCUAGCCUUUUGGCCAACUUCCCUCUGCUGAAGGCCCUAAAAGCCAGAGUCAGCAAUCUCCCGGCCGUGAAGAAGUUUCUCCAGCCCGGCAGCCAGAGGAAGCCUCCCACGGACGAGAAAAUAAUAGAAGUUAGGAAGGUUUUUAGGUUUUAAUAAAGCUGCCUGCCCGGGACAAAUCUGAAAUUUUCUAACAAUAAAACAGUAAAGCUCCUAUGAGCAGAUUU